rnacentral:rRNA from 1 species
AUUGAACGCUGGCGGCAUGCCUAACACAUGCAAGUCGAACGGCAGCACAGGAGAGCUCGCUCUCUGGGUGGCGAGUGGCGGACGGGUGAGGAAUACAUCGGAAUCUACUUUUUCGUGGGGGAUAACGUAGGGAAACUUACGCUAAUACCGCAUACGACCUACGGGUGAAAGCAGGGGACCUUCGGGCCUUGCGCGAUUGAAUGAGCCGAUGUCGGAUUAGCUAGUUGGCGGGGUAAAGGCCCACCAAGGCGACGAUCCGUAGCUGGUCUGAGAGGAUGAUCAGCCACACUGGAACUGAGACACGGUCCAGACUCCUACGGGAGGCAGCAGUGGGGAAUAUUGGACAAUGGGCGCAAGCCUGAUCCAGCCAUACCGCGUGGGUGAAGAAGGCCUUCGGGUUGUAAAGCCCUUUUGUUGGGAAAGAAAUCCAGCUGGCUAAUACCCGGUUGGGAUGACGGUACCCAAAGAAUAAGCACCGGCUAACUUCGUGCCAGCAGCCGCAGUAA